rnacentral:rRNA from 1 species
CAGCAGCCACGGUAAUACGGGGGGGGCAAGUGUUAUUCGGAAUGACUGGGCGUAAAGGGCACGUAGGCGGUGAAAAGGGUGGAAAGUGAAAGUCGCCAAAACACUGGCGGGGUGCUUUCUUGACCAUUUCACUUGAGUGAGAUAGGGGAGAGUGGAAUUUCGUGUGGAGGGAUCAAAUCCUAAGAUAUACGAAGGAACGCCAACCGCGAAGGCAGCUCUCUGGGUCCCCACUGACGCUGGGGUGCGAAAGCAUGGGGAGCAAACAGGAUCAGAUACCCCAGUAGUCCCUGUCUCUUAUACC